GUGCCAGCAGCCGCGUAAUACGUAGGACCCAAGCGUUGUCGGAUUCACUGUAUAAAGGGUGCGUAGGCGGUCUUGUGCGUCAGAGGUGAAAUAUCCGGGCUCAACCCGGAGGGUGCCUUUGAUACGGCAGGACUUGAGUGCGAGAGAGGAUGAUGGAAUUCCUGGUGUAGCGGUGAAAUGCGUAGAUAUCAGGAGGAACACCGGUGGCGAAGGCGGUCAUCUGGCUCGCAACUGACGCUGAGGCACGAAAGCGUGGGGAUCAAACAGGAUUAGAUACCCUGGUAGUCCACGCCCUAAACGAUGUAUGCUUGGUGUUGGGUCCGCAAGGACUCAGUGCCGUAGGAAAUCUGAUAAGCAUACCACCUGGGGAGUACGAUCGCAAGGUUGAAACUCAAAGGAAUUGACGGGGGCCCGCACAAGCGGUGGAUCAUGUGGUUUAAUUCGAUGCAACGCGAAGAACCUUACCCGGGCUUGAAGUGCAGGAAGUACAGAGAUGAAAG
rnacentral:rRNA from 1 species